CACGUAGGGCGCGAGCGUUGUCCGGAAUUAUUGGGCGUAAAGAGCUCGUAGGCGGCCUGUUGCGUCCGCUGUGAAAACUGGAGGCUCAACCUCCAGCCUGCAGUGGGUACGGGCAGACUAGAGUGCGGUAGGGGAGAUUGGAAUUCCUGGUGUAGCGGUGGAAUGCGCAGAUAUCAGGAGGAACACCGAUGGCGAAGGCGGGUCUCUGGGCAACAACUGACGCUGAGGAGCGAAAGCGUGGGGAGCGAACAGG
rnacentral:rRNA from 1 species